GAUCAUGGCUCAGGAUGAACGCUAGCUACAGGCUUAACACAUGCAAGUUGAUGGGAAACGACAUCGAAAGCUUGCUUUUGAUGGGCGUCGACCGGCGCACGGGUGAGUAACGCGUAUCCAACCUGCCCAUCACUUGGGAAUAACCUUGCGAAAGUAAGACUAAUGCCCAAUGACAUCCCACGAAGGCAUCCGAAUGGGAUUAAAGAUUUAUCGGUGAUGGAUGGGGAUGCGU
rnacentral:rRNA from 1 species